rnacentral:rRNA from 1 species
GAUGAACGCUGGCGGCGUGCCUAAUACAUGCAAGUCGAGCGAAUGGAUUGAGAGCUUGCUCUUAUGAAGUUAGCGGCGGACGGGUGAGUAACACGUGGGUAACCUGCCCAUAAGACUGGGAUAACUCCGGGAAACCGGGGCUAAUACCGGAUAACAUUUUGAACCGCAUGGUUCGAAAUUGAACGGCGGCUUCGGCUGUCACUUAUGGAUGGACCCGCGUCGCAUUAGCUAGUUGGUGAGGUAACGGCUCACCAAGGCAACGAUGCGUAGCCGACCUGAGAGGGUGAUCGGCCACACUGGGACUGAGACACGGCCCAGACUCCUACGGGAGGCAGCAGUAGGGAAUCUUCCGCAAUGGACGAAAGUCUGACGGAGCAACGCCGCGUGAGUGAUGAAGGCUUUCGGGUCGUAAAACUCUGUUGUUAGGGAAGAACAAGUGCUAGUUGAAUAAGCUGACACCUUGACGGUACCUAACCAGAAAGCCACGGCUAACUACGUGCCAGCCGCCGCGGUAA